UCCAUGUGACUGACUCUGUGUGUUUGCAUAUGUGUCCUGCCUCUCUGCUCCCAGCUGUUAAGAGGUCAGUGUUGAUCAGUGGCUGUCCAGGCCUUUCAGAGCCACUGACACACCAGCAGCACAAUGAUGAUGUCACUGACUCUACUGCUGACCACCCUGGGACUCCUGGUUCACGGUUCCUCAGCAGAAAUCACGCUGACUCAGACUCCAGCAUCUCAGUCUGUUGUUCCAGGACAGACUGUCUCCAUCACAUGUAAAGCCAGUGCUGCUGUUGAUGAUGAUUUGCACUGGUACCUUCAGAAACCUGGAGAAGCUCCUAAACUCCUGAUUUAUAGUGCUGGAUCACCAUCAGGGACUCCAAGUCGUUUUACAGGCAGUGGAUCAAACUCUGACUUCACUCUGACCAUCAGUGGAGUUCAGGCUGAAGAUGCUGCAGUUUAUUACUGUCAGAGUGCUCACUAUAUUAGCAGCCAGUGGGUGUUCACACAGUGA